rnacentral:pre_miRNA from 1 species
AGUGGAAUUGCUGGGUCAUAUGGUAGUUCUGUUUUUAGUUUUUUGAGGAACUGCCACAUUGUUUUCCACAAUGGCUGUACCAUUUUGCAUUCCCACUAGCAAU